rnacentral:misc_RNA from 1 species
AACGCACAUUGCACCCCUUGGUAUUCCAGGGGGUAUGCCUGUUCGAGCGUCAUUGCAACCCUCAAGCACUGCUUGGUAUUGGAUGUCACUCCUGAGUACAUCUCAAAAGUAUUGGUGGUGGCAUUCGACUUCCAGUGUGGUAAAUUUCUCGCUGUGGAGUUUGGGUGUCGACCAUCAGAACCCCUCAUUUAUCAAAGGUUGACCUCGGAUCAGGUAGGGAUACCCGCUGAACUUAA